AUUGAACGCUGGCGGCAUGCUUUACACAUGCAAGUCGAACGGUAACAGGCCUUCGGGUGCUGACGAGUGGCGAACGGGUGAGUAAUGCAUCGGAACGUACCCAGAGGUGGGGGAUAACGCAGCGAAAGCUGUGCUAAUACCGCAUGUGAUCUGAGGAUGAAAGCGGGGGACCGAGCAGCAAUGUUUGGCCUCGCGCCUUUGGAGCGGCCGAUGUCGGAUUAGCUAGUUGGUGGGGUAAAGGCCUACCAAGGCGACGAUCCGUAGCUGGUCUGAGAGGACGACCAGCCACACUGGGACUGAGACACGGCCCAGACUCCUACGGGAGGCAGCAGUGGGGAAUUUUGGACAAUGGGCGCAAGCCUGAUCCAGCAAUGCCGCGUGCGGGAGGAAGGCCUUCGGGUUGUAAACCGCUUUUGGCAGGAACGAAACGGUGUCCGCUAAUACCGGGCGCUAAUGACGGUACCUGCAGAAUAAGCACCGGCUAACUACGUG
rnacentral:rRNA from 1 species